AUUGAACGCUGGCGGCAGGCCUAACACAUGCAAGUCGAACGCGUGGUGGACGGGUGAGUAAUGUCUGGGAAACUUCCUGAUGGAGGGGGAUAACUACUGGAAACGGUAGCUAAUACCGCAUACAAUCGGAUGUGCCCAGCUGGGAUUAGCUAGUAGGUGGGGUAAAGGCUCACCUAGGCGACGAUCCCUAGCUGGUCUUAGCGGAGGACCAGCCACACGGGAACGGAGACACGGGCCAGACGCCUACGGGAGGCAGCAGUGGGGAAUAGUGCACAAUGGGAGAAAGCCUGAUGCAGCCAUGCCGCGUGUAUGAAGAAGGCCGUCGGGUUGGAAAGUACUUUCAGCGGGGAGGCGUGACCCGCAGAAGAAGCACCGGCUAACUCCGUGCCAGCAGCCGCGGUAAUAC
rnacentral:rRNA from 1 species